GAUGAACGCUGGCGGCGUGCCUAAUACAUGCAAGUCGAGCGAACAGACGAGGAGCUUGCUCCUUUGACGUUAGCGGCGGACGGGUGAGUAACACGUGGAUAACCUACCUAUAAGACUGGGAUAACUUCGGGAAACCGGAGCUAAUACCGGAUAACAUGUUGAACCGCAUGGUUCAACAGUGAAAGACGGUCUUGCUGUCACUUAUAGAUGGAUCCGCGCCGCAUUAGCUAGUUGGUAAGGUAACGGCUUACCAAGGCAACGAUGCGUAGCCGACCUGAGAGGGUGAUCGGCCACACUGGAACUGAGACACGGUCCAGACUCCUACGGAAGGCAGCAGUGGGGAAUCUUCCGCAAUGGGCGAAAGCCUGACGGAGCAACGCCGCGUGAGUGAAGAAGGUCUUCGGAUCGUAAAACUCUGUUAUUAGGGAAGAACAAAUGUGUAAGUAACUAUGCACGUCUUGACGGUACCAAAUCAGAAAGCCACGGCUAACUACGU
rnacentral:rRNA from 1 species